GAGUGAACAUCCAGAGGAAUCGCGGGGCGGGGUGGGGGGAGGCCAGGAGAACAGGUGGCGCAGGGAAGCAGAAACGUAGUUGCGCUGGACAGCUGGAGUGGGGCAGGGUCGGGGCCAGCGGCGAGGGGACAAGAAGGGCCGAUUCGAGAGGAAGCGCACCUGAGGAAGCACAGCGAAGGCCGGGAUGCAGGGAGCUGGGUGGAGAGCGAGCCUGGGCGGCGAAAGUUGAAAAUGCAACUGCAAGCUCCCCGGUGAGACAAAUACCGCCUUCAACCUUCGUAUUCUGUGGUGACUCAUCUCGCACGUGACACUCCCCCCCCCCUUCAAGGUGUGUUGACCGACUACAGUUUAAGCCUGUCGUCCCACAAAAGGCCCGGGAGGGCCGGGGUCCCAGGAAGGGCCAUCCUGGGUCAACACCGCCCCAGUUGGGAAGUCGGGCCGCUUUCGGACUUGCCACUGGAAAGGGAAGUGAUUUGGGGGCGGCAGGUAAGGCCGCGCCCCUUCGCCAUCACCUGGGGAAAGGUACCAGAGUUGAGCCGGGGCGCCCGCAGGCCUGUC
rnacentral:lncRNA from 1 species